rnacentral:rRNA from 1 species
UCGGAAUGACUGGGCGUAAAGGGCGCGUAGGCGGCUUACAUAGUUAGGCGUGAAAUUCCUGGGCUCAACCUGGGGACUGCGUCUAAUACAUGUAGGCUUGAGUGUGAAAGAGGGUCGUGGAAUUUCCAGUGUAGAGGUGAAAUUCGUAGAUAUUGGAAAGAACACCGGUGGCGAAGGCGGCGACCUGGUUCAUUACUGACGCUGAGGCGCGAAAGCGUGGGGAGCAAACAGGAUUAGAUACCCUGGUAGUCCACGCUGUAAACGAUGUGUGCUGGAUGUUGGGGUGCUUAGCACUUCAGUGUCGUAGCUAACGCGGUAAGCACACCGCCU